CACGUAGGGGACGAGCGUUGUCCGGAUUCAUUGGGCGUAAAGCGCGCGUAGGCGGCUCGGAAAGUCGGGCGUGAAAUCCCUGGGCUCAACCCAGGAACUGCGUCCGAUACUGGAAGGCUUGAAUCCGGGAGAGGGAUGCGGAAUUCCAGGUGUAGCGGUGAAAUGCGUAGAUAUCUGGAGGAACACCGGUGGCGAAGGCGGCAUCCUGGACCGGUAUUGACGCUGAGGCGCGAAAGCCAGGGGAGCAAACGGG
rnacentral:rRNA from 1 species